UCCUUUCGAUCCGUUCCUCUGUUUCUCCGUUCCUCUUCUUUCUUCUCCGUUCUUCUCCGCUCUUCAGCGGCCUGGAUCUUUUUUUCUCUCUUCCCGUUAUACCUGGCCAAAGCCUCGGGCAGGUAACUAUUGUGCGCAACAAAGCUACACUUUUCUACCCAAUCCCAAGCCUAAUGGAUAAUUAAUUUUUGAUAAAUCGCUCGUUCGUGACUGGCGUCGACGAACGGACUAAUUUGUUUUUCGAUUUUUCACAAAAGCACACAAACUUUAGCCGGUCCUUUCGAUCGUCUUCCUUCGUCUUUCAUUCCUCCCGGUUGUGCUCUUUUUAUUUAGGACGACAACCUCGAGAUUCCAAGACCUUUUUCAAAUUCGUCGAGGUACCAGCCUGUCAGGAUGCAUUAGGAUAAUACGACGAACGACUGCCAUAAACUUGGGAACUCUGGUCGAACGGAAUUUCGAAGGAAAGAAGCUGUGCAGCUCUAAGGCAAUCUACUUCUGACCAC
rnacentral:misc_RNA from 1 species